ensembl:lncRNA
CAGCAGCUGUACCAUUUUACAUUCUCACCACCAGUGCACAAUGAUUCCAUUUUCUCCGCAUCCUGGCCAAUGCUUAUUUUCUUUUUGAUAGUAGCCAUCUCAACAGGUGUGAGGUGGUAUCUCAUUGAAUUUUGGUUUGCUUUUCCCUGAUGAUGGUGAUGAGCAUCUUUUCACUCUUUUUCAGAUCCACAAGAGUCCUCUCUAUUUUCAGAGGUGUUGGCCUCACACCCCCAUUUCAAUAUUGAGAACAAAGCCGUACAGUCUGUGGAAGUGGUGAAUUAAUUGGGCGUAUUAUGAUGACAGGAAGCUACCAGAAAGAGAGCCAGAUAGUGAGAAGCAGAUGAGGAAAUCAGAAACCUGCAUUUGUCAAUCUAGGAAUCGGUCCAACACGUCUUAUGGAACUGAAAGCUGGCUGCCCAGAAGCCAACAAGAUGUGAGUAGACUGAUCAAGGAAGCAGGAAGUCCACAGACGCUCCUCCAAUUGGACUGCAGUCCCCAGGUAAUCAAGGGUUGAUUAAAUAAUUGGGAUAGAAUCUAAUUAGGGCAGACUUUGCAAAUGCCCAAAACCCUCCACAGC